rnacentral:rRNA from 1 species
UACAGAGGUCUCAAGCGUUGUUCGGAUUCAUUGGGCGUAAAGGGUGCGCAGGCGGCGCGGUAAGUCGGGUGUGAAAUCUCGGAGCUUAACUCCGAAACUGCAUUCGAUACUGCCGUGCUUGAGGACUGGAGAGGAGACUGGAAUUUACGGUGUAGCGGUGAAAUGCGUAGAUAUCGUAAGGAAGACCAGUGGCGAAGGCGGGUCUCUGGGCCGUAACUGACGCUGAGGAGCGAAAGCGUGGGGAGCGAACAGG